GAUGAACGCUGGCGGCGUGCCUAAUACAUGCAAGUCGAGCGAACGGACGAGAAGCUUGCUUCUCUGAUGUUAGCGGCGAACGGGUGAGUAACACGUGGAUAACCUACCUAUAAGACUGGGAUAACUUCGGGAAGCCGUAGCUAAUACCGGAUAAUAUUUUGAACCGCAUGGUUCAAAAGUGAAAGACGGUCUUGCUGUCACUUAUAGAUGGAUCCGCGCUGCAUUAGCUAGUUGGUAAGGUAACGGCUUACCAAGGCAACGAUGCAUAGCCGACCUGAGAGGGUGAUCGGCCACACUGGAACUGAGACACGGUCCAGACUCCUACGGGAGGCAGCAGUAGGGAAUCUUCCGCAAUGGGCGAAAGCCUGACGGAGCAACGCCGCGUGAGUGAUGAAGGUCUUCGGAUCGUAAAACUCUGUUAUUAGGGAAGAACAUAUGUGUAAGUAACUGUGCACAUCUUGACGGUACCUAAUCAGAAAGCCACGGCUAACUACGUG
rnacentral:rRNA from 1 species